UGAUGACAAGAUGUCCCUCCGGCUCCACUACCGGAUGAGCCUUUGUUCCAGUGGAGAAGCUACACAUUAUGUUUGGUCUCCUCAGCCUGAUGCUGUCUGAGUAUCUGACCUAAAGGCUUCCAAGACAAAGAUGGUCCCACAGGGCUCUCAGCAGCCUGGAAGAAUAUCGUUGUUCAGACCAGAUUGAAGAUUGUGUUCUGCCCAGAGGGAGUUUGUUGGGCCCUCAUCUCUACCAGAUCCAAGGACUGUUUCUCACAGAGACUCAGUAGGAUGUGGAAGAAGAAGGCCGUGGCUCCGUUGGCUCAGGGAACAUCUGCCUUUUCCCCUCCUGCCACCUCCCCUGGCAGUGGAGGGUGACCUGUCUCUCUCCUUGGCACCUCAUCAGAGAUUCUUCUCUCUUGGACAACACCCUCCAUCCUCGGAACCCUUUUCUUUCCUUAUCUCGGGAAACCUUCCAUAUUGUACCUACUUCUCAUUCUCUUAUUACUGCCUUCCUCCGCCAUCAAACAGCAUUUACCCCUCCUGUUG
rnacentral:lncRNA from 1 species